UAAUACGUAGGGUGCGAGCGUUAAUCGGAAUUACUGGGCGUAAAGCGUGCGCAGGCGGUUCGUCGUGUCCGAUGUGAAAGCCCCGGGCUCAACCUGGGAAUGGCAUUGGAAACUGGCGGGCUUGAGUGUGGCAGAGGGGGGUGGAAUUCCGCGUGUAGCAGUGAAAUGCGUAGAGAUGCGGAGGAACACCGAUGGCGAAGGCAGCCCCCUGGGCUAACACUGACGCUCAGGCACGAAAGCGUGGGGAGCAAACAGGAUUAGAUACCCUGGUAGUCCACGCCCUAAACGAUGUCGACUGGUUGUUGGGGGUUUGACACUCUCAGUAACGAAGCUAACGCGUGAAGUCGACCGCCUGGGGAGUACGGCCGCAAGGUUA
rnacentral:rRNA from 1 species